rnacentral:rRNA from 1 species
UAGUGGCGAACGGGUGAGUAACACGUGGGCAAUCUGCCCUUCACUCUGGGACAAGCCCUGGAAACGGGGUCUAAUACCGGAUAACACUUCCUGCCGCAUGGCGGGGGGUUAAAAGCUCCGGCGGUGAAGGAUGAGCCCGCGGCCUAUCAGCUUGUUGGUGGGGUGAUGGCCUACCAAGGCGACGACGGGUAGCCGGCCUGAGAGGGCGACCGGCCACACUGGGACUGAGACACGGCCCAGACUCCUACGGGAGGCAGCAGUGGGGAAUAUUGCACAAUGGGCGAAAGCCUGAUGCAGCGACGCCGCGUGAGGGAUGACGGCCUUCGGGUUGUAAACCUCUUUCAGCAGGGAAGAAGCGAAAGUGACGGUACCUGCAGAAGAAGCGCCGGCUAACUACGUGCCAGCAGCCGCGGUAAUACGUAGGGCGCAAGCGUUGUCCGGAAUUAUUGGGCGUAAAGAGCUCGUAGGCGGCUUGUCACGUCGGAUGUGAAAGCCCGGGGCUUAACCCCGGGU